rnacentral:rRNA from 1 species
AUUGAACGCUGGCGGCAUGCUUUACACAUGCAAGUCGAACGGUAACAGGCCGCUCGGUGCUGACGCGUGGCGCACGGGGGAGUAAUGCAUCGGAACGUGUCCAGUCGUGGGGGGUAACUACUCGCAAGAGUAGCUAAUACCGCAUACGAGCCAUGGAUGAAAGCGGGGGACCGCAAGGCAUCGCGCGAUUGGAGCGGCCGAUGUCAGAUUAGGUAGUUGGUGGGGUAAAGGCGCACCAAGACAACGAUCUGUAGCUGGUCUGAGAGGACAACCAGCCACACUGGGACUGAGACACGGCCCAGACUCCUACGGGAGGCAGCAGUGGGGAAUUUUGGACAAUGGGCGCAAGCCUGAUCCAGCAAUGCCGCGUGCAUGAUGAAGGCCUUCGGGUUGUAAACUGCUUUUGUACGGAACGAAACGGCUCGGGUUAAUACCCCGGGCUGAUGACGGUACCGGAAGAAUAAGCACCGGCUAACUACGUG